UGGGGAAUAUUACACAAUGGAGGAAACUCUGAUGUAGCAACGCCGCGUGGAGGAUGACACAUUUCGGUGCGUAAACUCCUUUUAUAUGGGAAGAUAAUGACGGUACCAUAUGAAUAAGCACCGGCUAACUCCGUGCCAGCAGCCGCGGUAAUACGGAGGGUGCAAGCGUUACUCGGAAUCACUGGGCGUAAAGCGCGCGCAGGCGGUCUUUUAAGUUGGAUGUGAAAUCCUAUGGCUCAACCAUAGAACUGCAUCCAAAACUGAAAGACUAGAGUCUGGGAGGGGAAGAUGGAAUUAGUGGUGUAGGGGUAAAAUCCGUAGAGAUCACUAGGAAUACCAAAAGCGAAGGCGAUCUUCUGGAACAGUACUGACGCUGAGGCGCGAAAGCUAGGGUAGCAAACGG
rnacentral:rRNA from 1 species